rnacentral:rRNA from 1 species
UACGAAGGGGGCUAGCGUUGUUCGGAUUUACUGGGCGUAAAGCGCACGUAGGCGGAUCUUUAAGUCAGAGGUGAAAUCCCAAGGCUCAACCUUGGAACUGCCUUUGAUACUGGAGAUCUUGAGUCCGGGAGAGGUGAGUGGAACUGCGAGUGUAGAGGUGAAAUUCGUAGAUAUUCGGAAGAACACCAGUGGCGAAGGCGACAUACUGGUCCGUUACUGACGCUGAGGCUCGAAAGCGUGGGGAGCAAACAGG